rnacentral:rRNA from 1 species
CCUACGGGCGGCAGCAGUGAGGAAUAUUGGUCAAUGGGCGCGAGCCUGAACCAGCCAAGUAGCGUGAAGGAUGACUGCCCUACGGGUUGUAAACUUCUUUUAUAAAGGAAUAAAGUGAGGCACGUGUGCCUUUUUGUAUGUACUUUAUGAAUAAGGAUCGGCUAACUCCGUGCCAGCCGCCGCGGUACGACGGAGGAGUCGAGCGUUAUCCGGAUUUCUUGGGUUUAAAGGGAGCGUAGAGGGGUUGUUAAGUCAGUUGUGAAAGUUUGCGGCUCAACCGGAAAAUUGCAAUGGAUACUGGCAGUCUUGAGUACAGUUGAGGUAGGCGGAAUUCGUGGUGUAGCGGUGAAAUGCUUAGAUAUCACGAAGAACUCCGAUUGCGAAGGCAGCUUACUAAACUGCCACUGACAUUGAUGCUCGAAAGUGUGGGUAUCAAACAGGAUUAGAUACCCGAGUAGUC